rnacentral:rRNA from 1 species
UACGUAGGGUGCGAGCGUUGUCCGGAAUUAUUGGGCGUAAAGGGCUCGUAGGCGGUUUGUCACGUCAGGAGUGAAAACUCGGGGCUCAACCCCCGAGCCUGCUUCUGAUACGGGCAGACUGGAGGUAUGCAGGGGGAGAACGGAAUUCCUGGUGUAGCGGUGAAAUGCGUAGAUAUUAGGAGGAAUACCAGUAGCGAAGGCGGCUCUCUGGACUGUAACUGACACUGAGGCACGAAAGCGUGGGGAGCAAACAGG